rnacentral:tRNA from 1 species
AAAGAUUUAGUUUAACUUUAAACAUUAACUUGUCAAGUUAAAAUUAUUAUUUAUAUAAUAAUCUUUA